CCAAAUUGAACAGCUGCAACAAAAUGAUGACAAGAGUAAUUAGCGACAAAAUCAUUUAUCUUUACAUUCUUAUACACUUAAUUCUCACUUCUUUAUUUUCGCAGGUUAAACCUCUCAAUCUCACGUUACGUUACAAUAUUUACUGAAUAUGUCCAUUUCCCUACUGUCUCCCCAAACCCUCUUACGUGGUCGUUGAAACUUGUCCAGCUCACCCAUAGGUGCCCGCGUAGAUAACUAAAUUAGAAAAAGAAAUAAAAAAAACUCAUAAAUGAAAACGAAAAUAAAUUAAAUUAUAACAAAAAAAAAAAAGGCAAAUGGGUUUGAAUGCAGCUGUCUAGUAUAGGCAAGUGUCCGUGGUUCAAAAAGUAAACAUGUAGCAAAAAAAAAAAUUAUGUACUGCGAAGAGGAAGAAGAAGCAGAGAAAGUCGAGAAAGAGGAAGAAGAAACCAGGAGACGAAUAAAUGACAAAAAGAGGAAGAAGAAGCACGAGACGCGAAGAAAUGGCAUUUCAGAAACGCGGUGAAGACAAGGCUCCUCCUGACUACGGACUGAAGUUGACCUAUUCAAUGUGAAGUUAUACCAUGGACGUAUUUGGUUUACUCCUUUUGGAAACAAGCGAUAUGAAGGAGGGUAUGUUGCCUAUUUUGAUAAUUGUGAGUUUAAGAAGUUUAAGAAGAAGGAUUUAGAUGGUAUGGGUCGAGGGUUAGGUUACAAAUUGCCCUUUGGUUUUCGGUUCAAGCCUUAUGGGAAACACUUGAAUAUGGAGAUAAUGGUUGUUGGGGAGAAGGAGGUUAGACUGUUUUUGGAUGACAUGAGAGAUUGAAGUUAUAGGGAGGUUCAAAUAUAUAUGGUGUUACCAGAUCCUCUAUUUGCUGCGGAGUGGAAAGAUGAUGACACAGCUAUAAGACAUAUCCCUAAAGCAGGUCUUGAAAAAUUGAAUUUGGGUUGCUGCCUCGAGGAAGUGGAGUCUGAUCUCCUUGCUGAUGUUGUUGUCGAUCCACCUGGACAAAUGAACCAAGAUGAUUACUUUUUACAACUUGUUUGUAAAAUGGGUGAUUUUCUUGCUCAAGUGGAUGAUGAAGAAGUUCAUUCUUCCAAUGGCAAUGAAGAAAAUUCAGGGCAAGAUGAUGAUGAAACGGAAGUGUUUGUAAUGAAUAUCCCAUAUGACUUUGAGGGCAUGGAGUAUGAUGGGGAAGCCUAUAUGGAUUACUCUGAAGAAGACUCCAUGGAUUACUCUGAAGAAGAAAUAAUUGAAACCAAUGAUGAUGAGCCAUAAACAGCCAAUGAAGGCCCAACAAAUGUCCCAAAAAGCACAAAAUUUGAGGGUUCAAUGGCUAAGGAAGUCUCAGCUAAACCUCAAUCUCCCGAUGUAGUUGUAGGUGGAGAUGAACCAACAAUUUCUGAGGAAACUCCAAGGAGUAAAGACUGGGACUAAGAAGGAUGAAGAAGGCAUUUGUUGCUGUAGAAGUUCAACCAGAAACUCCUCCUCAAGGUGAAGAAAUUCAGCCAAAUCUCGAACUAGAAACUCAAGCAUUUUCUCAACCAGAAAAUGCUAGCCAACCGCAACCUCAGACUGUGCCACAAAAUGAAACUGAAGCUGAUCCACAAGGUACCACACAAACUCAAACAACCCCAAAUGUUGAGUUUGAUUUGCAUGAGGAGGAGUAUGAUGGGCAACCUGAAGAAGGCAUGCGUAUGUCCCAAAAUAUCCAAGCACUUGGUGGGGGAGUAUUACAGAGCUAUGUGUUGAGACAAAUGUUGCUGAUAAUGAUCAUGGAAUUGAAUUAGAUGCUGAUCUGGCAAGUGUACAUAGUGAUGAUGAUCAAGGUACUCCAAAGUGACCUCCAAAGCAUAAUAUAAUCCAAAAACAAAGGUAUCUAAUUUCAAAUUCACUCAGGGGAUAAAAAUUAGGAAUGUGCAGUUGCUU